UACGUAGGGGGCAAGCGUUGUCCGGAAUCAUUGGGCGUAAAGCGCGUGUAGGCGGCUCGAUAAGUCUGCUGUGAAAGUUCAGGGCUCAACCCUGAAAUGCCGGUGGAAACUGUCGGGCUAGAGUCCGGAAGAGGCGAGUGGAAUUCCUGGUAUAGCGGUGAAAUGCGCAGAUAUCAGGAGGAACACCAAUGGCGAAGGCAGCUCGCUGGGACGGUACUGACGCUGAGACGCGAAAGCGUGGGGAGCAAACAGG
rnacentral:rRNA from 1 species